AACCUAAUAAAUAAAAAUCCGGAAUUUAAAAUGAGAUGUUUAAGGAAGUGGUGAUUCACUUAAUAAAAUAAGUCUUUAAAGGAGAUUCACUGUACAAUUUCUUUAAAUAAAUCUCUCUACUGCAUUGAUUUGAAUUGAUUUACACAUAUUUGACAAAAAUGAAAAUUUUCUGAAACUUCCAUGUAGUGUUAAUAAAGUGUGACAAAAACAACUAGGUUUAAAAUGUGCUUAGUAAUGUGCUUCAAAUGUUCAGUAAGAAAAUACUUGGACACCUAUAAGAAAAUUCUCUAGUUAGAAGCUGAUUCAUGGUUGAUCUUACUGUCAUGUAAUAGUUUUAAAAUACAUAAUGUAGUCAGUUAAAUUUCUUCUGUAUCAAUUAAAGGCCAUAGAAGAGAGAGGUAACAUAGAAAAUUUAGUAAGACAAGAAAAGUAAGAAAAAAAAAUCAACUUUUACUUAUUUGCCAACAUCUUAGGAAAGAAGGAGGUGGCAUGAGUCAUGUUUCUCUGUUCGGAUAAAGAAUGGUAUCAAUGACAAAAAGAGGGGUUUCUACCUUUUUUGUAAAAGGAAAUUUGGCAUACUAUUGUUUUAUAAGAGGUUUAAUGGGUUAAGGAAGAUCACCAUGCUAGCUAGCAAUGACUAUUAGAAUUUCUUUGGUGAGACUUUGCUUUGAUAAGACAUAACUCAAGCAAAAGUGACAAUGAACAAGUUCUUCAAACAGUAUCCCAGGAUGCCAUGCUAUCAGUGAACUCAGCAAAUGAAAAUUAUUUAUCCAUCUAACAAAUAUUUACCAAACACUUCUAUGUGUCAGGAACAGUUUAUCUUUUCACAACUUACAGUGAAAGGGAGAGAAAAUAAACCACUAAAAAAUACUAAAUGUUAAGUAAUCGUAAUUUUUCUUGAACAUAUUGAACCAUUAGGACUAAUGAGCAGGAAAAGGAAAUACAAAGUGACUGAGGAUAAUGAUAGGGUGUUGAGGGAAUGCCUAUCUGAGAAAUUGAUAUUUCAUUUAUGAGAGGAAAUAGCCAUGUGAGGGAAGAUCUUUACAGCGUUGACAGGAGUGAAGCCCUGAAGUAUAGGAGUUUCCUAGACAGGCACCAAAAGAGUAAAGAGGCCAGUGUGACUCCAGCAUCAUGAGAGGGAUGUGGAAAGAAAUGACUUGAGGAGUAGCUAGGGGCUUUGGAUUCGUUCUAAGUAUUAUGGGAGCUAUUGAAGUGCUGAGAGCAGGGGGACAAAAAAUCUGAUUUGGGUUUAAAAGGAUCACUGACUGCUGAAUGGAGGAUAUACUUUAGUGCAGCAAGAUUAUAAACUCAGUGCUGUAGUCCAAGGAAGACAGGGUGGUGCCCUGGAUCAGUAUAGUGGCCAUGGUAGUGUUAAGAAAUGGUGAUCCACGAUAUUGUUUGAAGCUUAAUACAUGCAUAUUUGUUUAUGGAUUGAAUACUAUGUUUCGAAGAAAAAGAAGAAUUAAAGAGGAUUGUUAUUUCUUUAGCCUGACUACCUGAAGGAACAGUGGAGUUUAUUGAGGAAAACUGAGGAAGGAAGGCUUUUAGAUGGAGAAAAAAAAUAAUUGUUUCCAGGGCAGAUAAUGUGUGAGACAUCUUUUAUUUAUGAAGUAGAAAUGUGGGAAGGCGAUUGUAUAUAUGGGUAUGCAGUUCAAGAUAAAAAGUCCAGACUAGGGAUAUAAAUUUAGAAGUUGUAAGACUAUGAACAGUACUUUUUUUUUUUUUUUAAAUUUUAAAGUAGGCCUCACACCCAGCACAAAGCCCAAUGUGGGGCCUGAACUCAUGCCCCUGAGAUCAAGACUUGAGCUGAGAUCAAGAGUCCGAUGCAUAGCUGACUGAGCCACUCAGGCACUCCUCCCACUUCCCUAUUUUUUAAAAAUGAGAUUGAAUGAGUUAACCUCAGUAUAUGGGUGAAGAGAAAGACAAAAGAGAAGAGCUGACAAAAAAGAAACACUCUAUGAGAAAGUUGUCAAAGAGCAGGAACUGUCCAUGAUACUGAACGUAAGUGCUCUUGAAGUAAAAAUAAAACCAGGAAUGUGUUGUGUCCUAGGAGUCAAGUGAAAAAAAAAUAUUUUGAAAAGAAAGAAACCAUCAAUCCCAUUACCUACAUCUGAUAUUUCCAGAUAAGGUGAGGUGAGACCAUCAGUGAAGACACAGGUCAUGAUUGUAAUAGUUUUAAUGGAGUUUUGGAAUUACCUCCAUUUGGAUUAAAUCGAAUUCGUUUCAAGACAGAGUACAAUGAAAAGAAAGAGAAAGAAAAGAGUACUUCUUUUCCUAGAAAAUUUUUUAUGGCACACUGCAUAUGCUGAAAAACUAGAACAAUUAAACCAAUGUAUAAAAUACAAAAAUAUAAAGAAUGAAACAUUUCGAUGAGCUUAUAAAAAAAAAGAAUUUUAAAAAUAAUGAAGUCAGGAAUCUUAGGAAAUAGGUGAAUCUCAAAAUUGCUUCUUAUUUCCUUCAUGAUGUGAUUUUUCAUGAAGAUAAUUGUUUCAUGGACACAGCUGUUAGUAUAAUUGUUAGGGGGCUCAGUGUCGAGUUUUCCUGUAACUUUGGAAGAAUUCUGUAGGGAAAUGAACAAAGAGUACUUUAGUAGUACCAUUCCAUUUAGAGUAUUGGCCAUUGGAACACCUAUCACAGAGAUGUGCUAUCGUUUGUUAUUUUUCUCUUGCAAGAAUAAGAUAAAAUAUACCUAAUCUCUAGAGCUUAUUCUUGAAAAUGGUACUGAUUUUGUUGACUAAUCCUUAUGCCAGUUCAAAAUAGGCCAAAUUUAUACAUAGAUAUUAGAACGAGUGAUUCUAGGAGGGUAGCCUGUCCAAGGGAAGAGAAUUUCAAGGAAGGGGAUAUAAAGUUGUGAUUACAAAUGCCUUUCAGAUUUGGUAUCUUCCUUCAGCAUUUUAAAGGAUUGGACUUGUACCUCCUCCUUCAAGGAAGAAGUAAAGCAUUUAACCAGUGCCUUUAUUUUACUGUACAGCCGAAUAUCCUGAGAGUAUGUGUGUAGAUCUGAAUGGCAUAAUGUACGAUGUUCCCCAGAUUAAGUUUGUUCUACAAUUAAUUGAUAAAUAACUCAUCUCUGAUCCUUGAACCGUUUGCUUAAUAGAAAACCAUGUUACCUCAUCUGCCAACACUGCCACCCAUCUUUGCUACCCCCAGGAUGAAGGUCAGUUUCUGUGUUGGCUUCCUUUGGCUCCAAUACAGUGAAACCUUUAGCAGUGAACGAGCCCAAGCCAAACAUAUACAGAUCUAAGGAGUCUCUGGCUUCCUCAUCACCCUGGACUCAGAUAAAGGAUCAUAUUAUAGGACAUGGGACCUGGUUCCCUAGCAGCUUUCUAAAGUGUCUAAUUGACACAACCUGGAAGUUUAUGGAAAAGUCAAUAUGCCUGCAGUUAAUCAUGAGUCACUGAGAAGAAAGGGGACAAAAGCAAGAAGUCUGAAGAUAAUUUCUUCUCCUUUCUUUCCCUAGGCAACCGUUGGAAAGGCCCCAAGGCUCUGACCAACAUUUCAUGCAUGUUCCAAAAGAUUGCAUUAUGCUAUGCUUUCUAGAAGAACUUUAGGACAAGCCUCCAAAGAAAAGUGAAGAUGUGAACCAUUAGCAACCAACACUGCAACAGCUGAGGCAUGGAUGAAUCAGGUGAUUGGGAAGACUGCUGCUCGCAAGGACCUAGAGUAAGGUGACUUAAGCCCAGAGAGCCUUCAUCAAACAAAAGCUGCAUGGAGAACGUUGAGAAGGGUUCACGGCCUCUACAUGAAAUGAUAACCAGCAUUUAUUCAGCUUUUACUGAUUUGCAGGCACAGUUCUAACUGCAUUAUAUGGAUCAUCUCAUUUAAUCCUGGCAACAACUCAAUGAUGAUGAAGGUCACAUCCAUAUUAAUUGCCCUUAUAGUGAAGCCUUCCUGGAGGCCACCUGUCAGCACAUCUGGAGCUCAUGUUGCUGCUGCUUCCAACACGGCACCAUUUCCAUCUCUACUCUGACUUCAAAGACCCAUCAAGGUUGAUGGUAAGGAUCUGGGAAGGGACACAGCAGAGAUUUACUGGCCCAGGCUCAGGUCUCUCCUAGCAUACUAAAAUUCCCUUUUCUCAGUUGCAGGACCUAGCAAAAGAAAGGUCAUUUAAAUUUGAUAUUUUCCAAAAUGCCCUUUGGACAGAUACUGGAAAAAAAAAUGUUAUUUGAUUUCCCAGGUUUCACUCAGGUUUUAGAUUAAACAUGAAUCAAAAUGAUCUGUUUUACAUAUCAAUGAAAUAAACAUCAUUACUUCAGGGACCCCACUGUACGUUUAGGUUCAGUUUGAAUGUUGUGACCUUAGUCUUUCAUUGAAUCACAUGGGGAUAAAGAAAUCAUACAUAUAAGGGUGUUAUUGGAUAUUAUAUAUCCCUAUCCAGAACCCAGAGUCAGACCCAGCAAGAUAAAGUAUCUAUUGAAUUCUAUGAGAAAAAUGAGUAUCUCAGGAUGAGUUCAUAUCUCCCUAACUUGAGUUUGUGGGGAUCAGAGGAAUUUUCACUGGAGUUCUUCUGGAGGUUUAAUUCCUUUCUUAAAUGGCUAACAUUGUAUUCUUAAUUCUCCUUAAUCACUCAUUUCAGAUAUUUAAUGCAUGUGAUGUGGGGAAGAAGAAAUAGUCCUUGGUGAAAUAAGUGUGGGAAACAGGAUAUUCAAGUAAGGAAGUGUUUUUGUUCCAAUAUUUCUCAUAGUUUUUGGUAUCUUAAUACCCAAUGCAAACCUCAAAGAAAGGGUAUGAUUUGGAGAAAUACUUCCUGAUUUUAUUUUGCUAAUUUAUCUGUGGUUUUUUUUUCCAAAUUAUAUCAUAGAAUAUGCUUUAGGAAAUGCUAACUUAGCCUCUGAUAUUCAAAUAGAUUUUUUUCAUGUGGCUCUCUGUAUCUAUUAGCAUCCUGUUAGAUACAGCAUCACCAAAUCUAUCACUGCCCAAGACCAGUACUGACUGUUCAAUGUCCACUACUGUCUUGGCCCAAAUUUUGCCUUUUUUCCAACCUUGCCUAACCUUGGACCAACAGUCUGUAGUUUAAGUGGCCCACUGAUGGAGGUCUUCUGGUUAUAUUAUGUUGGGUGAAGAGACAGACAAUACAUGAAUAGGAAAGAAUGGUAGGCUGAAUGGUGAUCAGUGCCAUGAAGAAAAAAAUAAAGAAAGGUAAGCUGUAAAAAAGAGUAAGAGACAAGUUACUAUUUCAGGUAAGGAAGCCAGAAAUAGCUUGUGUAAUUUAGGUGCUAUUUGGACAGACACGUAUCAGAGGUUCAUAAGUGAAUUACCAGUAACAGGUAGCAGUAGUUUAGGUGCGCCUCAUGGUAACUUUGGGUGAGCCAUUCAUUUUUUUAGGACUACCAUUAGGCUCUUUUUGAGAAUCCCUAGCAGUACAAGUACAUGGCUAUUUUUAUAGUUCAAGUUCACUUAUCUGGAAAUUUAUAAAUACACUUAUCCUCUUUAAGGAUAUACUAAAUUAUUAACAAAAUGCUAAUUGGUACCAUUCUGAUGUUCAUUCAGUGGAAUUCUAAAUCUAAACUUCAGCAAUUCUUAAAAAGAAGGAUUUCUCAAUUUCAAGUAUUUUCUCUAAGCACUCAUAACUUUAAGAAAAGGUGAAGUUUGCGUGAUUUCUUCAACACGACGGGCUUUUUUCUCUGAAUCAGAAUCACCUUUCUACCUUGCUGAAUUGAUGUAUACUUUAUUGACGAAAAUUUAAUCUUACUUUAUUUUUCUUCCUCAGAAAACCAUAGUCCACAUGUCUGUUAUUACUCUUUUCUCUUAUUUUGAAUAUUCUCAUAUUUUAAAGUCAUAAUAGUAAUAAAAAUAACAACAACAACAAUGGCAUAGUUUACUUUGCAGGUCCCAUUACAAUUUUUCAUAUAUUUUCAUCAAAUUAGCUUCUGUAACAAAUUCUGAAUUGAUAUAUUUUGAACAAUUAUAUGUGCAAUACUAUGUGCAGUCCAAAGUGCUGAAAAUACAAAGUGCCGUAGGACUUUGCCGUAGGACCCUUCUUUCAUGGAGUUUAUAUUCUAGAGUAGACAGACAAUAACCAAUCACAUUAGAUACCACUAGGUUUUCUGAACUAUAGGUGAGGAGACUGAGGCAGAUUGAAUUUAGGUUUUCCUCGUUUUAAAGACCAAGCUUUUCAUAGUUAUGUCAUUCCUGCAUCUUAAAAAGGAAAAUAGAGAAACUCAUCCAUAAGCCAAGAGUUCAUUAAAGUAUUGGCCCCUAAAUAAAUGAGUAUUAAAAAAUUAAAGUAUUGGCCCCUGUUUUGUGAUAAAUACAUGAUACCAAGUUCAAGAAUAAUAAGUAUUUCUCAUGUUAUAAGUCCCUGGUUCUCCAACUUCAGCUUGGAAAAUAUCACUAGAAGUAUUGGAUGAAAUUAAAGAUUUCUGAGCUCCAUCUUCAGCCUGUAGGUCUGUAGUCAUCUGUAUUUUUAACAAGGAUCUCGGGUGAUGCCGACGCAGAUGGCUUGCGAGCCAAACUUUGUGAAAUGUAUUUGAUAAUAGUAAGGUCUGCACAUUCUAAGCCAGACAGUCGAUAAUUAAACUAAUGGGUCCAUCAGACAAGACUGGCAUGCACAGGGCCAUGGAAGUGCAGCAUCAAAGAGAGCUCAUAAGAAUGAGUUAGAAACAUUGAAAAGGUAACAACCUUGACCUUGGCCUUUUUUUUUUUUUUUUUUUUUUAAUUUCAGACAGUGCCAGUUGAUUUGUGUCGCUUAGUUUAUGUCUGAUAUCCAGUCAUCAGGUGCAGACCCUGGAGACUCCAGUGGGUUUCAUCACUCAGGAGAGCCACAGCCUCUCCUCAGCAGAGACACACCCAUCAGAAGCCUUGAGGAAACCUCUCCCCCAAACUG